rnacentral:rRNA from 1 species
UAGGGAAUCUUCCGCAAUGGACGAAAGUCUGACGGAGCAACGCCGCGUGAGUGAUGAAGGUUUUCGGAUCGUAAAACUCUGUUGUCAGGGAAGAACAAGUACCGUUCGAACAGGGCGGUACCUUGACGGUACCUGACCAGAAAGCCACGGCUAACUACGUGCCAGCAGCCGCGGUAAUACGUAGGUGGCAAGCGUUGUCCGGAAUUAUUGGGCGUAAAGCGCGCGCAGGCGGUUCCUUAAGUCUGAUGUGAAAGCCCACGGCUCAACCGUGGAGGGUCAUUGGAAACUGGGGAACUUGAGUGCAGAAGAGGAGAGCGGAAUUCCAUGUGUAGCGGUGAAAUGCGUAGAGAUAUGGAGGAACACCAGUGGCGAAGGCGGCUCUCUGGUCUGCAACUGACGCUGAGGCGCGAAAGCGUGGGGAGCGAACAGGAUUAGAUACCCUGGUAGUCCACGCCGUAAACGAUGAGUGCUAAGUGUUAGAGGGCUUCCACCCUUUAGUGCUGCAGCAAACGCAUUAAGCACUCCGCCUGGGGAGUACGGCCGCAAGGCUG